rnacentral:rRNA from 1 species
ACGUAGGCGGCAAGCGUUGUCCGGAAUUAUUGGGCGUAAAGGGAGCGCAGGCGGGAAACUAAGCGGAUCUUAAAAGUGUGGGGCUCAACCCCGUGAUGGGGUCCGAACUGGUUUUCUUGAGUGCAGGAGAGGAAAGCGGAAUUCCCAGUGUAGCGGUGAAAUGCGUAGAUAUUGGGAAGAACACCAGUGGCGAAGGCGGCUUUCUGGACUGUAACUGACGCUGAGGCUCGAAAGCUAGGGUAGCGAACGG